rnacentral:rRNA from 1 species
GGAUGAACGCUAGCUACAGGCUUAACACAUGCAAGUCGAGGGGAAACGGCAUUGAGUGCUUGCACUCUUUGGACGUCGACCGGCGCACGGGUGAGUAACGCGUAUCCAACCUUCCCAUUACUGUGGGAUAACCUGCCGAAAGGCAGACUAAUACCGCAUAGUCUUCGAUGACGGCAUCAGAUUUGAAGUAAAGAUUUAUCGGUAAUGGAUGGGGAUGCGUCUGAUUAGCUUGUUGGCGGGGUAACGGCCCACCAAGGCUACGAUCAGUAGAGGUUCUGAGAGGAAGGUCCCCCACAUUGGAACUGAGACACGGUCCAAACUCCUACGGGAGGCAGCAGUGAGGAAUAUUGGUCAAUGGACGGAAGUCUGAACCAGCCAAGUAGCGUGCAGGAUGACGGCCCUAUGGGUUGUAAACUGCUUUUGUAUGGGGAUAAAGUUAGGGACGUGUCCCUAUUUGCAGGUACCAUACGAAUAAGGACCGGCUAAUUCCGUGCCAGCAGCCGCGGUAAUACGGAAGGUCCAGGCGUUAUCCGGAUUUAUUGGGUUUAAAGGGAGCGUAGGCUGGAGAUUAAGUGUGUUGUGAAAUGUAGACGCUCAACGUCUGAAUUGCAGCGCAUACUGGUUUCCUUGAGUACGCACAACGUUGGCGGAAUUCGUCGUGUAGCGGUGAAAUGCUUAGAUAUGACGAAGAACUCCGAUUGCGAAGGCAGCUGACGGGAGCGCAACUGACGCUUAAGCUCGAAGGUGCGGGUAUCAAA